GACGAACGCUGGCGGCGUGCUUAACACAUGCAAGUCGAACGGAAAGGCCCUGCUUGCAGGGUGCUCGAGUGGCGAACGGGUGAGUAACACGUGGGUGAUCUGCCCCUUACUUUGGGAUAAGCCUGGGAAACUGGGUCUAGUACUGGAUAGGACCAUGCUGUAGGUGGUGUGGUGGAAAGAUUAGUUUCGGUAAGGGAUGAGCUCGCGGCCUAUCAGCUUGUUGGUGGGGUAAUGGCCUACCAAGGCGUCGACGGGUAGCCGGCCUGAGAGGGUGGACGGCCACAUUGGGACUGAGAUACGGCCCAGACUCCUACGGGAGGCAGCAGUGGGGAAUAUUGCACAAUGGGCGCAAGCCGGAUGCAGCGACGCCGCGUGGGGGAUGACGGCCUUCGGGUUGUAAACUCCUUUCAACCAUGACGAAGCCCUUGUGGUGACGGUAGUGGUAGAAGAAGCACCGGCUAACUACGUG
rnacentral:rRNA from 1 species